rnacentral:rRNA from 1 species
AAGGUAACGCCUGCCCAGUGAGAAAACUUUUCUUAAACGGCCGCGAUAAAACCGUGCGAAGGUAGCGAAAUCACUUGUCUCCUAAAUAGAGACCAGUAUGAAAGGCCACAUGAGAAAGAAACUGUCUCUUGAAGAUCGCCAAUGAAACUGAUCUGGCUGUGCAAAAGCAGCCACAACAAAACAAGACAAAAAGACCCUGUGAAACUUUAAACUACACGACAACUAAAUGCCAAUAAUUUUAGGUUGGGGCAACCAAAGAGAAACAAAACCUCUUAUACAUACUAGACAAACAAGUCAAAUUAACAAAUACGACCCAGUAAGACUGAUCAUUGGACCAAGCUACUCCAGGGAUAACAGCGCCAAAUUCUUGAAGAGUUCACAUCAACAAGAAUACUUACGACCUCGAUGUUGGAUCAGGGUAGCCCAACAGUGCAAAAGCCGCUAACGGUUCGUUUGUUCAACGAUUAAUACCCU